rnacentral:lncRNA from 1 species
UGGGGCGGGACGGCGGGCGGCGGUGCCCUCCCGCCUGAGGGGCCGCGGUGGAGGGCAGUAAGGACCAGCGCCACCCGAGGGGACACUGAGGGAGGGCCACGGGGGGCGUUCGAAUCGGAACAAAAGGGGGAAGAAAAGCGAUCGUGUGAGGGCGGUGAGACCCCUCGGCCCGCAGGGAACGCGGCCCGGCCCCUGCCUUGGGCGCGGUGAGUUCCCCUCAGGAACGCUGGUGGGCCCGGCUCAGGAGCGGCCCCUGCGUGGGAAGGCGACACCUCGGAGGUUGGCUCUCCUGCCCCAUGAAGUGACAGGGUAAAAACCACCAAGUUUAUUUUGGUUUUCCACGUCUAAAGGUGGCAGGAUUCAAAGCACGGGCGGCUGGAAUGUGGGAGAACCACAGCCUGGUUCUUGGUGAGGCGCGAGGUGCCAGUAAGCGGUGUGCGGGUCUGCGGGAGAGCCCAGCAGCCCGCUUCGCCCCGGCCACGAACACCCAGGGGACAGACACCUUUGUGCCCAGAUUUCCAGAGAGAUUCAAAAUCCUUGGGGAGCUCCAGUCUUACACAUGGGUUAUCGUAAUCCUGGUGCAGCACAUCCAGAAAUCUCUCAGAAGCAGCAUCUGAGCAAGGUCAGCUUCAGCCAGGGUUGGAGUUGGAAAUGGUCAGCAUCGCUUCCCACUAGCACCACACAACACCAGCUCCACUGCUGCCCCACGGUUCUUGCAAGAUCGCCUUUGGGCUACUAUCCCUCCUUUUACUACAAGAAUUUCCUUUAUAUAGGACACCAAGUGUUCACCGCCGAAAGGCAGCGAUCCCUAUGUGAAACAUGGCAGCCACUCAGUAACGCGGAGGUUGGGAGGCGAUGGUGAGGAACCACAGAAAGAGCCAACAAAACGUGCCUUGCCGAGCGGGAACUGCUUUCCAGACCGAGAGGCAGGGCUGGUUCAAGCAAGUGUCAGUCCGUGAUCCUUUCCACCGUCACCACAGCAGGAGGUCAGCUGUCCCCAAAACCCUUCUGAAGAAAGAG